AGGCCCCGUGGACUCAGCCAUCCUGGUCUUGCUGCCCACGUCCGAGGUGGACCUGCAGGCGCAGAGGGGCUGCGUUAGCCGCUCCCCAUACCUGCCGCCGCAGCACCACCCAGAAGUUCCCGCCCGCCUGUCACCUCUGUGGUCACCUCUGGGAGCCGCGGGUGACCUCCUAGCCCCACAAGGGUGCGGUCCUCAGGCCUGGAUUUGCCCCCCAAGUCACAAAGGAGGCCAGCGGGCCCAGACCUGGAGCGGCCGUGGUGGUGGACGGAGCUGGAGUCAUUUUUAGAUAUUCAAGGUAUCGUGCCUGCUAGAUCUCUUGAGGAACAGGAUGACAAGACUUUAAGCCUGAAGGCAUCAGGACAAAAAGCAGCAGCAGAGGGAAUCCAUAAAUAGGGUUCUUUGAACUGAAUGAGGUCUUCUCCCCUGCAGCAUUUUAGCAGACUACAUACUUGUAAAGGCCGACCCAUGAGCUAACAACUAGAUCCUAGAUGAAACAUACCUCUUAAUGCACAGUGGGAAUUGCAAGAUUUAAGAGAAACCUCAAGGACCCUACGCACCACCCAAUCCCUUCCCUCCCCGCAACCCUGCACACACCUCAGGAAACUAAAACCAAACCAUGAGCUGAAACCAGAGAGAGAAGUAGAAGUAUGCAAAUAUGAAAGUACUCUCCAGGUCUGAAUAUCACAGAUGGAGAAGAGAGCUCCAAUAAUAACGAGCUCUUCUUCUGACAAUGUCUCACUGUCCUCGGCUUGGCUCUCACCAAAUGAAAGACCACACUGAGCCGCACAUGUAAGUAUUCUGGCCCAUGUGGUCAGCCAGCUUCUCACUGCAGGUUGCUAAGUUCGAAUCCUUAAUAAAACGUUGUUGGGAGCCUAAUCAGAGUGAGUCAACUUCUCAGGAGCCGAUCCCCGUGAAGUGAAUAGACAAGAUAGAAAUUCUGCACCUGCCGAACUAAGGACAAACGCUUGCGGAUGGUGGUCCCAUACACACAGCCACCCUACCCUCGAGGUUCCGUUCGAAAUAAACCUGUCUCUCCUGCUAAAGCUUAGCCACUGGGAAAGGUUAAGGCUAGACACUGAUAUUCCGAGGGGAGGGAUGAGAAGCAGGAUCAAGGGGAGACAUCUCAGUGAAUUGGAGUAGAGGGGGGAAGUCUGGA